rfam:Picea glauca, whole genome shotgun sequence.
UUUACCCUGGGUAACAUCCUCGAAAUGAGGGGAGGUGCCCGGUGGGUUUCCCUAGGCUCUA